rnacentral:rRNA from 1 species
AAAAGGACACCAAAAUGGCACCUUAUAUGCAUCAUCAUCAAGCCUGAUCUGCCGCGGGCUUUACAACAAUUCUAUGACCUGAAGGGCGGCGAUAGUUUCCAGUGCCUCAACUUAGCCACGGUGGUGCUCAUUCCGAAGAUUGCGAACCCAACUGAAGUUGGGCACUUCCGACCGAUCAGCCUAGUGCACUCUUUUGCCAACCUUAUAGCAAAAAUUCUGUCCCUUCGCCUCGCGCCAAAGCUCAGCAGCCUCAUCUUUCCAGCGCAGAGCGCCUUUUUGAAAUCUAGAUGCAUCCAUGAUAGUUAUUUGUUCGUUAAGAAUGCUACUCGUAGCCUGCACCGAAGGAAAAGACCAGCGCUGCUCUUCAAGAUGGACAUAGCCAAAGCAUUUGACUCAGUAUCCUGGGAAUACCUGCUGGAGCUACUGCAAAAACUCAGCUUCUCCGCAUGA